rnacentral:piRNA from 1 species
UGUGCGGGCUCCUCCAACCACAACAGACGUGC